CAGGGAGUCCUGUUCUCAUCGUGUCCCCACACCAGCAGACUCGCAUCUAGAAGCGUCCUCUGGGCUGAUGGAUUGAUGCUGGAGCUGCCCCAGAGCCAAAGGCAGGGGCCGGCAGCCUCUGCCACCUGCUUGGCUCUUCCGAAGCCCCCAGGAGUGAAGGUCAUGACUACCAGGCUAUAUUCAAAAUGAAAAAAACAUGAAUGGAUAAAGAAGCUGUGGUCUAUGUAUACAAUGGAAUAUUACUCAGCCAUUAGAAACGACAAAUACCCACCAUUUGCUUCGAAAUGGAGGGACCUGGAGGGUAUUAUGCUGAGUGAAAUUUCAUUUAUUUGAGAGAGAGAUAGAGCAAGACAGAGAGAGAGCGCAUGCAUGAGCAGGGGAGGAGAAGAGGGAGAAGCAGAGUCACCACUGAGCAAGGAGCCAGGUACCAGACUCGAUCAGAGGGCUCCAGGAUCAUGAGCUGAGCUGACGGCAGAUGUUUGACGGGGUAAGCCACCCAGGUGCCCCCAUAUAUGUUAUUUUUAAACACAGUUGAAUUUGUUCUGUGAAUGUAUCUAUACCUGCAACAUAACCAGAUGUAUAUAGUUUUUUUUUUCCUUUUGCACAUUUACAAAGAGUAAACAGUUGGUGAUAUAUAAGUAAAUUUUGUUUUCUUUGUCCUUUAUCUUCCCUGACUUUUUUUUUUUUUUCAAAAAGAGUGUAUCCAUCUUAAAAUCAGGGGAAAAAAUCAUUUAAAGAAAGGAAAGAAAGCAAUGGCAGGCAUCUCUCCUUAUCAGAGGAGAGGCUGUGGUUUCUUGAGCGAGGGGUACACCCUGACUUCGGUACAAUGAUACAGAGGGCC